rnacentral:lncRNA from 1 species
CUCUGGUCGACCUCUCCCGCGGCCAGCACCAAUCCCAGGAUGAAGCUCCUGGGGGCAAUCCCACUGUCUCAGCCAGUGAAGCCCGGUGGCCUGGAGCUGCAGCCAGGCGUCAAGCUCCAGGAAGCGUGUCGGGCUACUGCCGUCGGUGUUGUGGUCUUGCCUCCGGCAGCGGCCUGCUGCCGGUGUCGUCGGGAUCCGCCAGAGGCGUUGAGAAUCAGCCGCCGCCGCCG